rnacentral:lncRNA from 1 species
CUUCAUAGAAGAGGCAUUUGUUUCUUUAGAAUUUGAUGAAACAUUUCUUGAGGAUACAUUAACCUUCUCAGAAGAUGAUGACACUUCCUGCCUAUUGAAUUUAAGGGAUUCAGAUAAACGGGUUUUUGGUCUGGGAGAAGUUCUGAGGUUGGCUGCUGCUGUCUUCUUCAUCCCAGAAUGGACUUCACUGUUAACCGGAUUUUGGCCACCUGAUGUUGCAGUAACAUUUUGAACAUAUGGUGAUUUUGUAGAUACUUCCCGCUUGAUGAUCUCGGCCUCAGAUAAACGGGUUUUUGGUCUGGGAGAAGUUCUGAGGUUGGCUGCUGCUGUCUUCUUCAUCCCAGAAUGGACUUCACUGUUAACCGGAUUUUGGCCACCUGAUGUUGCAGUAACAGUUUGAACAUAUGGUGAUUUUGUAGAUACUUCCCGCUUGAUGAUCUCGGCCUCAGGGAUAUCUAAC